AGUGAUCCAAAAAAAAUAAUUGUUCUUUCUUCUCCAACCAUAAGUCUCAAGUGAUCAGGUUUAUAUGAUUGAGAAGAGCAUCGGAAGAAACCAAGUGAAAAUAAAGUCAAAAAGAGGUCAAACUGGACAGUACAAAAACCGGACAGUUUUGCAAAUCUGAAAACUUGGGGCUUAUUUUGUUAUUUUUGGACUUGAAAAAAGUUGGGAACUACAAAAGCAAGACAUGGGGCAAACAUUUAUCAUCUUUGGCAUAAAACACAAGUCUUGGAGAGCUAGGGUUCCAACACCCACACUUGGGGAUUGAAGAUUUGAAGUUUUGAUGAGAAAUUUCUUAACCCUUUACUCAUUUGUUCAAUUCCUUGCUAUGUAUUGAAUAUGUAAGUGUGUAGUAUUUCAUUUCUAUACUUGAACCUUGUUUAUGGAAGUAUACAUUGUUAAAGUUUGGAUUGAAA